rnacentral:rRNA from 1 species
GACGAACGCUGGCGGCGUGCUUAACACAUGCAAGUCGAACGGAAAGGCCCUGCUUGCAGGGUACUCGAGUGGCGAACGGGUGAGUAACACGUGGGUGAUCUGCCCUGCACUUCGGGAUAAGCCUGGGAAACUGGGUCCAAUACCGGAUAUGACCUUCCAUGUAGUGUGGGGGGUGGAAAGAUUUAUCGGUGUGGGAUGAGCCCGCGGCCUAUCAGCUUGUUGGUGGGGUAAUGGCCUACCAAGGCGUCGACGGGUAGCCGGCCUGAGAGGGUGGACGGCCACAUUGGGACUGAGAUACGGCCCAGACUCCUACGGGAGGCAGCAGUGGGGAAUAUUGCACAAUGGGCGGAAGCCUUAUGCAGCGACGCCGCGUGGGGGAUGACGGCCUUCGGGUUGUAAACCUCUUUCGACAGGGACGAAGCUUCGGUGACGGUACCUGUAUAAGAAGCACCGGCUAACUACGUG